UCUCCGUAGGUGAACCUGCGGAGGGAUCAUUACAGAGUUCAUGCCCUACCGGGUAGAUCUCCCACCCUAUGUUAUUAUUACUUUGUUGCUUUGGCGGGCCGUUAGGCUCCGGCCCGACUACCGGCCCCGGCUGGUAAGCGCCCGCCAGAGGACCCAAAACCCUGAAUGUUAGUGUCGUCUGAGUACUAUAUAAUAGUUAAAACUUUCAACAACGGAUCUCUUGGUUCUG
rnacentral:misc_RNA from 1 species